UACGUAGGUGGCAAGCGUUGUCCGGAUUUACUGGGCGUAAAGAGCGCGCAGGCGGUUGAUUAAGUCGAAUGUGAAAGCCCCCGGCUCAACUGGGGAGGGUCAUUCGAUACUGAUCGACUUGAAGGCAGGAGAGGGAAGUGGAAUUCCGGGUGUAGUGGUGGGAUGCGUAGAGAUCCGGAGGAACACCAGCGGCGAAGGCGGCAUCCUGGACUGGUCCUGACGCUCAGGAGCGAAAGCGUGGGGAGCGAGUCCGG
rnacentral:rRNA from 1 species